rnacentral:rRNA from 1 species
AUAGCGUAUAUUAAAGUUGUUGCAGUUAAAAAGCUCGUAGUUGAACUUCGAACGUGGCUGGGCGGUCCGCCUCACGGUGUGUACUGUCUGGCUGUGUUCUCUUUCUUGGUGAGCCGGCAUGCCCUUAAUUGGGUGUGUUGGGGAACCAGGACGUUUACCUUGAGAAAAUUAGAGUGUUCAAAGCAGGCCUAUGCCCGAAUACAUUAGCAUGGAAUAAUAAAAUAGGACGUGCGGUUCUAUUUUGUUGGUUUCUAGAGUCGCCGUAAUGAUUAAUAGGGAUAGUUGGGGGCAUUGGUAUUGAGUCGCUAGAGGUGAAAUUCUUGGAUUGACUCAAGACCAACUAUUG